CUCGCUUGGCAUCGAUUAUUACUUACGGCCCACAGUAAAUUAUCCGCAAAGCACCAACGCAGGAACUUCGAAAGACAAUCUCGAUAAUUUCGCUGACUUAUCGUUACUCCCGCGGACUCGCUCGACGUGUACACGCGUGCGCCUAUUUUGCAUACGAUGUCUCUCCACGGUUUGUCGAUUAGCAACGAGUUACGGGAUAAUGUAUACUUAUGUCGUGUCUACACUCCCUCAAUGUUGGAUUAGAGUUCAAUUUGUGGAUUAUACUGUAAGCAAGAAGAUAGCAACCGGUUGGUUAUGGUUCUAGUCAGAUUAUUUUAUCGCAAUCAAACUCGAUAAAUCUUCACUAAUGGUUAAAUCCAGCUGUACAGCAGACGUGCGGGAGUAAAACACAAAUACAUAAUCUCAUGAUUGGUGAUCGGACAAUAUUUAGAAAAGUGAUUUAACAGUGAUCGAAAGAUGUUUCUCCACGGUUUAUCAAUUAACGACGAAUUACCAGAUAAUAUUCACUUACAUCGCUUCUACGAAUCCUUGACGUUGGAUUAGAAUUCAAUUUGUGGAUCGUACUCUACACGGUAUAUCUGUGGAAGUAGAAGACGUACACGUAACUUUCUGAUUGGUGAUCCAACUGCAUUUAGAAAAGUAAACGCGACACGAUUCACGUUGGAUAGAUGAUUAAAAGUCUAGUGGAAGUGGAAACAAUGGGACAGAGCAAAUUGCCUUUUGCUGACGAAUAGAAAGCCGAGGUUUCUUAAUGGCGGACAAAGUUGCUUGAGAGGUAACGUCGCACGAUUUCGUUGAAUGUCAACGCGUUCGUUAGGCUGGGAUUUUGCGGGCACGCGGUUGAUUGUGUUUAAGCAACGAACAGUAGCGAAGUGUUUCGUUCAAGUUCUAUCAUUUCGAGAGUUUUCCUGGAGUAAUUCUGCGCACUGCCUCGAAUCUCUGAAUGUUGGAUCGACCAAUCGAGGAUAUGUUAAUGAGUGUUUGAUUUAAGAGAUUGCAAUUUUUAAUGCGAAGUUCAGGAUUGAACAGUGCAACAUUAAAAUAUAAAGAUUAUAUUAUUUAUUUCGUUAUAUUCAAAUUUAGAUUUAUUUAGUUAUGAUUAAGUUUAACGUUUGUUAUUACGAGCAGAGAUGUCUGUCUUUUCUUGUUUCUACACAGUAAUGGGUAUCUACGUCGAUAUCAGUAUCUAUAUGAAAAGACUUUAUUACGUUUUUAUGAAUGUAAGCAAUAACAUGUUACUUAUGUGGAACACGGUUCUGUAUUAUUAUCGCUUCAACUACAAUGUUAUUUUGGGUCUACGUAAAAUAUUACUAUAUUUUAGAAAUGCAAACGUAUAUUUGAGAAAAUAAAGUCCUAGAGCCAUCUUAAAAUGUA